UACGUAGGUGGCAAGCGUUAUCCGGAAUUACUGGGCGUAAAGCGCACGCAGGCGGCUAGUCAAGUUCGACGUGAAAGCUCCCGGCUUAACUGGGAGAGGUCGUUGAAAACUGGUUAGCUUGAGGCAAUGAGAGGGGUGUAGAAUUCCCGGUGUAGUGGUGGAAUGCGUAGAUAUCGGGAGGAAUACCAGUGGCGAAAGCGGCACCCUAGCGUUGUUCUGACGCUCAUGUGCGAAAGCGUGGGGAGCAAACGGG
rnacentral:rRNA from 1 species